GGCCAAGAGCUACCGGGAAGUCCUGGGCAUUUGGUCGCGUGUGAGGAAAGAAGGGCCACAAGGUUGGCGCGCCGACCCUAGCUGACUCCGGCGGCCGCAUGGCAUGCUGGGGAUUGUAGUUCGGUGCAGGUUUAGUGUGUCGGACAUGGAGUCUCCAAAAUCCGAGGUUUGACUUCAGCCAGCUCUUGCUAGUGCCUUGGUCAUUGGCUGUCGUUAAGGCCUGUUGCCAUUCGCGGAUAAGCAGAGGUUGAAUGAAGGCUAAUGAAACAUAACCAAGCAAGUCUGAUUGUAGGAAUUGAAGGGGAAACAUGUCUGGAGGAGUGAUCAGGGGCCAAGGCACAGAAGGCCUGGAGUUUGGACUUGCUGGUGACAACCUAUGGGAGCUUGUUCUUUUUUCUACACCUGCCUAAUAAAGGAUAAAUAUUAAUGAUAUUUGAAAGGUA